rnacentral:rRNA from 1 species
GGUGCAUGGUUGUCGUCAGCUCGUGUCGUGAGAUGUUGGGUUAAGUCCCGCAACGAGCGCAACCCUUAAGCUUAGUUGCCAUCAUUAAGUUGGGCACUCUAAGUUGACUGCCGGUGACAAACCGGAGGAAGGUGGGGAUGACGUCAAAUCAUCAUGCCCCUUAUGAUUUGGGCUACACACGUGCUACAAUGGACAAUACAAAGGGCAGCGAAACCGCGAGGUCAAGCAAAUCCCAUAAAGUUGUUCUCAGUUCGGAUUGUAGUCUGCAACUCGACUACAUGAAGCUGGAAUCGCUAGUAAUCGUAGAUCAGCAUGCUACGGUGAAUACGUUCCCGGGUCUUGUACACACCGCCCGUCACACCACGAGAGUUUGUAACACCCGAAGCCGGUGGAGUAACCUUUUAGGAGCUAGCCGUCGAAGGUGGGACAAAUGAUUGGGGUGAAGUCGUAACAAGGUAGCCGUAUCGGAAGGUGCGGCUGGAUCACCUCCUUUCUA